UUCUUUCAGCUGCCUCUGGGUAGCUUAUGAUAAACAGUUUUCCUACCCAGACUAUGUCUUCCUAUCAAUGAUUAAUCCCUCUAUGGUAAUAUUUGAGCAUUUGCUAAUGCAGCCUACAUAUUACUAGGGAAAUUGUCAUAUUUUCUUUCAUUUAUUAUACCUGAAACAUACAUAUUAGUUUAUAAAGUCUAGGUAAAAAAUAUUACAUUGUAAUGAAGAGCUAUUAUGCAUUAGAUUAUAUGGUAAUGGAUGCAAAAUGAAAAUGAGAGGCAAGUUUUUGAUCUUCCUCAGAAUUCUCUGGAGUCUCCUUCAGUUACCCAGCAAGGAACCACUCUGAAAAGUUAUGUGAUAUGGAAAUUAAUGUAAUUUUAAAUUUUCUGUACAAUUUAAUAUUUGUAUUUUGAAUAGGAAAAAUCUAAACAUGUUUAAUAUUUAAUAGUAAAUAAAUAAUAAAUAGCAUUAAUUUAAUAAAAAUAAUUUAUUUAAUUAUUUAAAAUGGAGUUAAUGCAUUAUAAGCCCUCAAAAGAAAAAAAGUUUGUUUUGCCCCUUAUAGUGUAUCUAUAGAUAAUGAUGAGUGUAAAUAUAAAUUGAAAUUUGAACAAUCAAUCUUGUGAUUCCUAUAGUAGGAAGCCAGUGACCUAAGUCAAAUAAACUUGUUAGUUUGUUUGGCAACAUAAAUCUACCAGAUUUCUGCAGCUCUCCUCUUGACUCUUGGUAAUUUUUGAAAUCACUCCAAUGUGUGUAAGAGAAGCACAGUUUUGUUCCCUCCUCAGAGGCAAAACUGUAUUAAAACAUACGUGUGCCAUGACUUUAAAUUCUACCUAAUUGUGCCCCUCUGAUGAUCACAUUAGCAACUUGAUGCUUCAGAAAUGAAAAGACUAAUUUCUACCAUCAGAGAAUUAUAAGGAUAUUGCUUAUUCAUGCUUUAAAGUUUGUUUUAAUAGGAACAUUUUUUUCUGGUUUAUUAUAGGAAUCAUUUUGAGUAUACAAAUAUCUCUAGUUAAAUCUCUAAUAAAAGCAGAACUAAUAUGUUUCAGGUUUGGGGAAUAUUUUCUAAUAAAUAUUGGAAUAAUUUUCAGUGACUUGUAAGGGUUUUAUUAAAAUUCUAUAUCUGAGUUUGUAUGUCAAGCUAAUUAAGUAUUGAGCUUUAAUCUACACAAAGGCUGCAAUUAUCUAAUCUCAUUUACUUGCAAGUCACUAUCUAGAGUAAAAAACUUAUCCUAAGAAAAUCAAUAUUGAGCAUUGCCAAAAUAUAUACUUCUUCCUAAAUAGAUUAAUCAUAUUUUAUAAUAUAUUAAACAUGUUUCAGAUAAAGGAAAUGUUAGCCACCAAUUUGCAUAACUUAUUUUUUAUGUUUGAAUAGAAUUGUUCCUAUUUUUUUGAGAUAAGUUCACUUUGGAGGUAUAUUUAUAUGGCCAGGGCUAUAAUGCUAGAAUUUGUUAUUCAUUUCCUAAGGAUAAUUUUACAUGUAUGUGAAUGUUAUCUGUUGUCAGUGUGUAUGGCUGUGGAGGCCAGAAGAGGACUUUGGAUUCUCUGUCUGUGGUUAUAGAUAGUUAGGUACAGAAAGGGCGUGCUGAGAACUGGAUGUGGUUACUCCAGAAGUGGAACAGGUACUUUUAAUUGCUGAACCACCUCUCCAGCCCCUGCAAUGGGUUCAUUAGAUCCAGGCAAUAAAUAUCCCAUUAUUUAACAACAUAAUCAGGUGAGAAAAUUUUGGAUAGGUCUUUAACUGAUUCUAAACUGAAUCAAAACCCAUUUAAUUUUAGAAAGUUUUCUCUUCAGCAAAAAUGGGUAGGAAAAUGAAUAAAAGUUGAAAGUGGUGCUGAGCCAAAUUGUAGCUGAAAAUAGUUAAGAGUCAUGCUUCAGUAAUCUAGUUGAGUCAAGGUUUGAUAUCUUAACAUUGGGAUUACCACAGAAAAAGCAGAGAAGAAGUAUUAUUUUUCAAUAUAAUUAUCAUUUGUGAAUUACUGUAUUAAUAAAUAGCUAUUGGUUUUAUGGAGUUUUGAUGUCUUAUUUUAGAUAUUUUGGCACACAUUAAAAUGCACUCUGGUACCAGCAAUAAAAAUGCAAACGUGAAGUAUGUGCUUGUAGAACACACUAUACUGGAGGGUUAUGGCAAGUAUCCUAAGCACUGUCAGGCUCACCGUGGGGUCCACCAUAUGUCAUUCAUCAUUCAUGUCAUCACUGAAUGACAUUUUCUGUCUGCUAAGUCAUGCUGCUUGGCCAUUAUCCAUUUUUUGUUGAAGUACCAAUCUGGGACUUUUUUCACAUUAUUGAAGUCUUUCUCCUUUGCCUCCUCCUCCUCUUCUCCUUUUCCUUUUCCUUCUUCUAUUCUUUCAUGUUUUUGCAUAUCUUUCACUUUGAACAAAGAAAAGAGCAACCCCUGAUGCAUUGCUUCCUUUAAAAGACACAGAACAAUGGCAUCAGCUAAGGACACUGUGUGAGGCAAUCCACUUUCUAAAGUGGCCACUUCAGAAUGUGUGUGCUCCACUUUCCUCAGACAUCUGUGAAAUCUAACUGCUUUCAUUUCUACUAUAAUUUUUAUCUUCUUUCCAUUGGCUUAUUUUACAUUUAAUCUCCUCAAACAUCCAAUAUAUGAGUUCAACCUUACUUCUGAAAUCAGCCUCCUUAAUUUUUUACUUAUUUUGCCUUUCUGUUCAUAUUUUUAAUUUAUUUCUUCCCCACUUUCUGCUCUUAAUAAUGCUAAUAUCAUUUGCUCC
rnacentral:lncRNA from 1 species